UACGAAGGGGGCUAGCGUUGCUCGGAUUUACUGGGCGUAAAGGGCGCGUAGGCGGACAGUUAAGUCGGGGGUGAAAGCCCGGGGCUCAACCUCGGAAUUGCCUUCGAUACUGGCUGUCUUGAGUACGGGAGAGGUGUGUGGAACUCCGAGUGUAGAGGUGAAAUUCGUAGAUAUUCGGAAGAACACCAGUGGCGAAGGCGACACACUGGCCCGUUACUGACGCUGAGGCGCGAAAGCGUGGGGAUCAAACAGA
rnacentral:rRNA from 1 species